rnacentral:rRNA from 1 species
AUACUUGGUGUGAAUUGCAGAAUCCCGUGAACCAUCGAGUCUUUGAACGCAAGUUGCGCCCGGAGCCUUUGGGCCGAGGGCACGCCUGCCUGGGCGUCACGCCCAGCGUCGCUCCCAGCGCUCUCCGUCGGGGCGGGCGAUGAGGAAGCGUAGG